UACGUAGGGUGCAAGCGUUAAUCGGAAUUACUGGGCGUAAAGGGUGCGCAGGCGGUGAUGUAAGACAGAUGUGAAAUCCCCGGGCUCAACCUGGGAACUGCAUUUGUGACCGCAUCGCUGGAGUGCGGCAGAGGGGGAUGGAAUUCCGCGUGUAGCAGUGAAAUGCGUAGAUAUGCGGAGGAACACCGAUGGCGAAGGCAAUCCCCUGGGCCUGCACUGACGCUCAUGCACGAAAGCGUGGGGAGCAAACAGG
rnacentral:rRNA from 1 species